rnacentral:ncRNA from 1 species
UGCUAUGUUGGAGACACCCCCGACGAGACGCGCCGUACCGGGUUGUAAACGGAAAGACGACGCAUC